rnacentral:lncRNA from 1 species
AAAAGGGUAAAAACAGUGGUAGUAGGGCUUCUAGAUCAAAAAACUCUAGAGGAAGCAAUCUAAGAGGUAGAUGUGGAAGAAGAAUGGUUGACAAGAGUAGCGUGUAGUGCUUUAAUGGUCAAAAGCUUGGCCAUUUUUCAAGAGAGUACAAUUCCAACAAGAAAGAACCUCAAGAAGAUGAAGUUAGAGUUUCAAGGCUAGAU